AACGAACGCUGGCGGCAUGCCUAACACAUGCAAGUCGAACGAGACCUUCGGGUCUAGUGGCGCACGGGUGCGUAACGCGUGGGAACCUGCCCUUAGGUUCGGAAUAACUCCCCGAAAGGGGUGCUAAUACCGGAUAUUGUCUUCGGACCAAAGAUUUAUCGCCUUUGGAUGGGCCCGCGUUGGAUUAGCUAGUUGGUAGGGUAAAAGCCUACCAAGGCGACGAUCCAUAGCUGGUCUGAGAGGAUGAUCAGCCACACUGGGACUGAGACACGGCCCAGACUCCUACGGGAGGCAGCAGUGGGGAAUAUUGGACAAUGGGCGAAAGCCUGAUGCAGCAAUGCCGCGUGAGUGAUGAAGGCCUUAGGGUUGUAAAGUUCUUUUACCCGGGAUGAUAAUGACGGUACCGGGAGAAUAAGCCCCGGCUAACUUCGUG
rnacentral:rRNA from 1 species